AGCUCCUAGAACGUAUGUUAAAGUUGUUGCGGUUAAAACGCUCGUAGUUGGAUUUCUGCCGAGGACGACCGGUCCGCCCUCUGGGUGAGUAUCUGGCUCGGCCUGGGCAUCUUCUUGGGGAACGCAUCGCACUUGACUGUGUGGUGCGGUGCCCGAGACUUUUACUUUGAGGAAAUUAGAGUGCUUCAAGCAGGCAUACGCUUUGAAUACAUUAGCAUGGAAUAAUAAGAUAGGACCUCGGUUCUUUUUUGUUGGUUUCUAGAGCUGAGGUAAUGAUUAAUAGGGAUAGUUGGGGGCAUUCGUAUUUAACUGUCAGAGGUGAAAUUCUUGGAUUUGUUAAAGACGAACUACUGCGAAAGCAUUUGCCAAGGAUGUUUUCAUUGAUCAAGAACG
rnacentral:rRNA from 1 species